GAGUUUGAUCCUGGCUCAGAUUGAACGCUGGCGGCAGGCUUAACACAUGCAAGUCGAGCGGGGAAAGGUGGCUUGCUACCUGACCUAGCGGCGGACGGGGUGAGUAAUGCUUAGGAAUCUGCCUAUUAGUGGGGGACAACAUUCCGAAAGGAAUGCUAAUACCGCAUACGCCCUACGGGGGAAAGCAGGGGAUCUUCGGACCUUGCGCUAAUAGAUGAGCCUAAGUCAGAUUAGCUAGUUGGUGGGGUAAAGGCCUACCAAGGCGACGAUCUGUAGCGGGUCUGAGAGGAUGAUCCGCCACACUGGGACUGAGACACGGCCCAGACUCCUACGGGAGGCAGCAGUGGGGGAAUAUUGGACAAUGGGCGAAAGCCUGAUCCAGCCAUGCCGCGUGUGUGAGAAGGCCUUUUGGUUGUAAAGCACUUUAAGCGAGGAGGAGGCUACUUAGAUUAAUACUCUAGGAUAGUGGACGUUACUCGCAGAAUAAGCACCGGCUAACUCUGUUGCCAGCCGCCGCCGU
rnacentral:rRNA from 1 species